rnacentral:rRNA from 1 species
AACGAACGCUGGCGGCAUGCCUAACACAUGCAGGUCGAACGAGACCUUCGGGUCUAGUGGCGCCCGGGUGCGUAACGCGUGGGAACCUGCCCUUAGGUUCGGAAUAACUCCCCGACAGGGGUGCUAAUACCGGAUAAUGUCUUCGGACCAAAGAUUUAUCGCCUUUGGAUGGGCCCGCGUUGGAUUAGCUAGUUGGUAGGGUAAAAGCCUACCAAGGCGACGAUCCAUAGCUGGUCUGAGAGGAUGAUCAGCCACACUGGGACUGAGACACGGCCCAGACUCCUACGGGAGGCAGCAGUGGGGAAUAUUGGACAAUGGGCGAAAGCCUGAUCCAGCAAUGCCGCGUGAGUGAUGAAGGCCUUAGGGUUGUAAAGCUCUUUUACCCGGGAUGAUAAUGACAGUACCGGGAGAAUAAGCUCCGGCUAACUCCGUG